GUAUCCUGUCUGAAUAUGGGGGGACCAUCCUCCAAGGCUAAAUACUCCUGACUGACCGAUAGUGAACCAGUACCGUGAGGGAAAGGCGAAAAGAACCCCGGCGAGGGGAGUGAAAAAGAACCUGAAACCGUGUACGUACAAGCAGUGGGAGCACGCUUAGGCGUGUGACUGCGUACCUUUUGUAUAAUGGGUCAGCGACUUAUAUUCUGUAGCAAGGUUAACCGAAUAGGGGAGCCGAAGGGAAACCGAGUCUUAACUGGGCGUUAAGUUGCAGGGUAUAGACCCGAAACCCGGUGAUCUAGCCAUGGGCAGGUUGAAGGUUGGGUAACACUAACUGGAGGACCGAACCGACUAAUGUUGAAAAAUUAGCGGAUGACUUGUGGCUGGGGGUGAAAGGCCAAUCAAACCGGGAGAUAGCUGGUUCUCCCCGAAAGCUAUUUAGGUAGCGCCUCGUGAAUUCAUCUCCGGGGGUAGAGCACUGUUUCGGCAAGGGGGUCAUCCCGACUUACCAACCCGAUGCAAACUGCGAAUACCGGAGAAUGUUAUCACGGGAGACACACGGCGGGUGCUAACGUCCGUCGUGAAGAGGGAAACAACCCAGACCGCCAGCUAAGGUCCCAAAGUCAUGGUUAAGUGGGAAACGAUGUGGGAAGGCCCAGACAGCCAGGAUGUUGGCUUAGAAGCAGCCAUCAUUUAAAGAAAGCGUAAUAGCUCACUGGUCGAGUCGGCCUGCGCGGAAGAUGUAACGGGGCUAAACCAUGCACCGAAGCUGCGGCAGCGACGCUUAUGCGUUGUUGGGUAGGGGAGCGUUCUGUAAGCCUGUGAAGGUGUGCUGUGAGGCAUGCUGGAGGUAUCAGAAGUGCGAAUGCUGACAUAAGUAACGAUAAAGCGGGUGAAAAGCCCGCUCGCCGGAAGACCAAGGGUUCCUGUCCAACGUUAAUCGGGGCAGGGUGAGUCGACCCCUAAGGCGAGGCCGAAAGGCGUAGUCGAUGGGAAACAGGUUAAUAUUCCUGUACUUGGUGUUACUGCGAAGGGGGGACGGAGAAGGCUAUGUUGGCCGGGCGACGGUUGUCCCGGUUUAAGCGUGUAGGCUGGUUUUCCAGGCAAAUCCGGAAAAUCAAGGCUGAGGCGUGAUGACGAGGCACUACGGUGCUGAAGCAACAAAUGCCCUGCUUCCAGGAAAAGCCUCUAAGCAUCAGGUAACAUCAAAUCGUACCCCAAACCGACACAGGUGGUCAGGUAGAGAAUACCAAGGCGCUUGAGAGAACUCGGGUGAAGGAACUAGGCAAAAUGGUGCCGUAACUUCGGGAGAAGGCACGCUGAUACGUAGGUGAAGUCCCUCGCGGAUGGAGCUGAAAUCAGUCGAAGAUACCAGCUGGCUGCAACUGUUUAUUAAAAACACAGCACUGUGCAAACACGAAAGUGGACGUAUACGGUGUGACGCCUGCCCGGUGCCGGAAGGUUAAUUGAUGGGGUCAGCGCAAGCGAAGCUCUUGAUCGAAGCCCCGGUAAACGGCGGCCGUAACUAUAACGGUCCUAAGGUAGCGAAAUUCCUUGUCGGGUAAGUUCCGACCUGCACGAAUGGCGUAAUGAUGGCCAGGCUGUCUCCACCCGAGACUCAGUGAAAUUGAACUCGCUGUGAAGAUGCAGUGUACCCGCGGCAAGACGGAAAGACCCCGUGAACCUUUACUAUAGCUUGACACUGAACAUUGAGCCUUGAUG
rnacentral:rRNA from 1 species